GACAUUGAGUUAGACAGCUAACAAAUACUUCCAGCUUAUUAAUUCCUGCUGGUUUCAAGGGACCGUCAAAUUCUUCUCUGCGAUCGUUAAAAUAGAAUCGCAAAUAAAUCUUCGUACAAAGAUAUUAAGUCAACUAUUGUUCUUCAUUUGUUUCAACUAAAUUCCUUUUACAUGUGAAGAUCGCUGUCGGGCCGGAAAUUAAAAACAGAACCACCAUCUCCGAUCAAUGUAUUCCAGUCUGUUUUUUGUGUAGAUACAGUUGUUCAAGGAUGUUGAGCCGAUGUGGUCCAACAAUUAGCUGGCCAUGAAAUUAAUAUGGAGACAGGGCCAGCUGAUGCGCUAGCCAGCCACAUCUCUAAUGUCUUGGUUUUACAAAUUAAUCAUUGUUUUGUCCUUAGAUUUGAAAUACACUUAUAAAUUAGUCCUUCAUGUUUAAAAUACAUAUGAACGUUGGUUUUUUCUUAAGAUUUCCAAUUGUAAAACUCUUUCAAAAAAAGAAUUAUUGUAUCCAGUUUGAUUUCAAAACCAUGAAACCCGAAAAAACAGCUGCUCGCUCCUUGAUAAUAUAAUUAUCAGCAAGAAUCGAAGAGACUAAGUUAUAACCUGAUCCUUUCAAUAGAUCUCAAGUUUGUUUUUCUGUCUCUCUUUUUGAUAUAAGAUGAUGAGGUUAUUGCUUCAUGUCAUUGGUUGCAGAUUCUGUGUGCUUAUUCUUCCAUGGGCUGUGAGAAGCAACUUGAUUUAUUUCUUGGUUGCAGAAAGGUUAUUGGCAAGGUUUCAAGGGUGGUGAUAAUAGGGACAAGAACUUGAUCUUCAGAGUGAAAAGGACUGUGAAAAAGCUUGCAAAAACUGAGCUGGAGGUCUUUCUCGUCGGAGAGGUUUCUUGAGAGUCAAAACCUGACUUUAAGGUGAAAGGUUUCCCCUUCCAAAGAUCAUGCACGAUCUAUCGAGGCGAUUCCAUUGUAGCGCAGACCAGUCUCAUAUACGAGCUUCGCCAGAUUUAUGCCCGGCGGAGUAAAUUUUGUUAACCAUAUUUCCUGGAUCUUCUCAAUUCCAACGUACAACCUGGGCUAAGUUUCAUGUUAAACUGGGUGAAAAACAGAUCAACUGGCGACCUAGUCCACUUGGUCAAAAGGUCGGUGAUUUAAACUUACGCAACUUUCCAACAGAUUGCAUACCAUCAAGUAGCGAUAUAAACUUGCAACCAUCAUUAAACUAAAAUCUAGAAGAAAGAACCAUAAAAUUUUGGCUUGGAAAAUGAGAACUAUUAUCAGUUAUCACAAGAAAUCAAUCUUCUACAAUCAAUCAGAACUACAAAAUGUGUAACUGAUCCGUACAUGCUUGAGCUGCAAGAGUUGUCUGAACCAAGCAAGUCAAUAUUGUGGCAAAAAUUGCCAAAUUCUCACUUUGCGACUCUAACUGCUGUCAUCACAUAAAGGAUUCAAAACGCAGGGAACUGUAUUUUGCUAAUCUCACUUUUAGGAUGCAGAAAGUGCCAUGCGGCUUGGAAACCAAAGACCACAAGAUUGAACGGCAAUUGUGCCAAACUCUGUUUAAAUUUGUCCAAGGAUAGCAUCUUCAAUGGGUCACUGCAUUAAAGGAAGUAGCACUCUCAUUUCUGCUCCAUUUCCAUUUGACAAAUAAUAUAUCUUCUUCCAGCUCUCCUCUGAGAAUGCUUCUCGAGGCAAUAAUCUUUGCCUGCCAAAGUUAACAAAUAAAACCAAGUCAGAACUGCAUCAAGGAGAAAGUAUUUGGCAAGUUCUGCAUUAUUUAUAAGAAUCCAGCCAGUUGAAUGAGAGUGUGCUUCAUCACUGAUAUAGUCUACCCGGCAAUCAUAUGCAUUCCUCUACAUACCUAAGGUAGUAAUGGCAAACAGCAGCUGCUUCAUCUAAACCAUAUCGUGUUAAAUUAACACGAGCAUCUAAAGGGACAUCUGGCAAAUCCUUGCGCAACUUUCCAACUGCUGUUGAAUGAGAAAAGGCACCCACCAUCAUGCUAUUAUGCAUCAUAGACCUAAAAGCAUUUACCUGCAAGAGAUGUAUAAUGUUAUGGAGUGACGUUCAAUGAACUCCAACCAGCAGUCCUUGAUUCCAAUAAAUUAACUAUCCAGAAGAAUAAGAAAAGUGUGUGCAAGAUGUCCACGGUGGAAGAAAACUAAAUCUCAAGGACCAAAUCCUCAUUGCAUGGAAAAAGAUGAUCACCAUCCUAAGAAUAUGAGUUCUCUUCAAGGGUACAUCCACAACAUACAUGUGCUCAUUUCAACCCAAAGAGAUUAGAAUAAUUUUAGGACUUGACAAA